UCUAGAAAUGCAUGACCCACC
rnacentral:miRNA from 1 species